UAAAGCUAAAGAGCCUCUAAGCUGUCGCACGCAUCCCGAGAGCUCGAGAUCCAAACACGAAAGUAACUUUAAAAUAAUUCACCUGACCCCACGAAAGCUAAGAAACAAACUGGGAUUAGAUACCCCACUAUGCUUAGCCAUAAAACAAGAUGUAAAAUUACAUAUACAUCCGCCUGGGUACUACGAGUGUUGCUUAAAACCCAAAGGACUUGGCGGUGUCUCAGACCCACCUAGAGGAGCCUGUUCUAGAACCGAUAAACCCCGUUAAACCUCACCACUUCUUGUUUUUCCCGCCUAUAUACCGCCGUCGCAAGCUUGCCCUGUGAAGGUCCAGCAGUAAGUAAAAUUGGUACAACCAAAAACGUCAGGUCGAGGUGUAGCGAAUGGAGUGGAAAGAAAUGGGCUACAUUUUCUAUUUAAUAGAAUAACACGAAUGACACCCUGAAACACAUGUCUGAAGGUGGAUUUAGUAGUAAAAAGCAAAUAGUGUGUCCUUUUGAAUUAGGCUCUGAGACGCGCACACACCGCCCGUCACUC
rnacentral:rRNA from 1 species